CUCUGGACCUCUGGUCUCUCUCUCCUCACUGUGUGCAUCGCCCCCAAAUCGUCCUAGGGUUAGAAGAGGUCAGACGCAGCCGAAGCUUCAUCAACUCGCCGCCUAGUAUAGAUCUGGACCAACUGUCGCGUCCCCCCGCUAGCACCAGCCGCUGCAACCGUGGAGAUGUACGAAGCUGGACCAACCUUUCGCGCCACCGCGUCGCGGGUAGUCGAGCUCCCAGGCGGUCGCCCUGUGUGAGAACUUACGGCCGUACGACUGCAAGGGUUGUUGGACGCUGCAGCCCGAAAUAUCUGAUUUUCAAAUAGCUUUGCAGCACAAUCCUGAAAAUACAGACGUCUCAAGAAAAAUCAAGAGGCUUUGAUGUUGUACCGUGCAGAAAUAUCUGUUUUGAAUGUGAUUGAAUCAGCGGUGAAAAUUUGGCAGGACAUAAACUUGUACCGUGCAGAAAUCUUGAGGUUAUAGAGUACCAAGUUACUGAUCAAGUGAUGGUUGUAAUUGUGUACUUGAGGGAAUUUCCGUUUCUUAUAUGUUUCUUUUGUAAAGAGUAAUGGAUUUCUUUUGUAAA